CUUUUUAAUCAUGAUGGGCACGUGCACUAAGAGAAACAUGGACCUGUUUUUAACCCUUGAUGUUGAGAACACAGAGAAAAGGGACAGGGGUCUCCCCGUGUUGUCCAGAACGGUCUUGAACUCCUGGUCUUCAAGCAAUCUUCCUGCCUUGGUCUCUCAAAGUGCUGGGAUUACAAGUGUGAGCCACCAUACCCGGUCAUAGCGCUCUUAUAAAAUGCAUCAUCACAUUUAUUUUAUAAAUUCAGAAACAAAAGUCUGUAUAGAGAAGUUUUGAAGUUACUAGGGACCUGAAAAUCAUACUGAAGAUGUCUGCAACUAAAAACUCGAAGAGUUCCGAGGCUAGAGGGGUCAGGAGAUGAAUAAAAACGUUAGCCCCAGCUGAUCACAAUGAGGUUAAUCACAAUACUAAUUAAAAAUACUACAGAUCCUAGGACAAUGGUCAGAAGAGUGACUAUACUUUCCUGUUUGCCCUUGGAAAAUCGAGGGCUGACUUUUCUACGUGCUCAGAUAACCUAAAUUGAUAGAGAGAAAGCUAGCAGAGGAUAAGAUAAACUAGUUAACUGUAAAUAAGAUUUUGCUGUUGGAGAAUCUUCUUGUUGCUCUGGUUUUAGAUAGCGGAGGAAGCCAAAAAAUAUCU
rnacentral:lncRNA from 10 species